AAUGGCUGAAACUAUUGAUGAAAUCAAGAUGUAAAUGAUCAAAACCAGUUUUCUUUAAAAUAAUGAUCAUUUAAACUACUGUCACUGGGAUGUCUUUGCCCUCUGGAGUCUUUUGCCCAGAUUUUGUAAAGAGAAUUCACCAGAUUGAAGAAGCUAGACAAAUUGUUGCUAGAUGUGCCCAGAGCAUUUUAUUAAACUUUCUAAGAUGUAAUGUUGGCAACAUUGAUGUUUUGGCUCCACAGGUAUAUGUUAUCACUUCAAACGUGAUACUUUUUGAUGAUAACUCCAAGUGACUGAAUUUGUUUAUGUUGAAACUUUUGUUUGUGC
rnacentral:lncRNA from 1 species